rnacentral:tRNA from 8 species
GCGCCCUUAGCUCAGUUGGUAGAGCAAUUGACUCUUAAUCAAUGGGUCGAAGGUUCGAAUCCUUCAGGGCGCACCA